AUGGGCUCCAUCAAUGCAUCUCCGUUCGAGCUCGCCACGUCUAUAACACCAACUCCGUCUACAACCAUGGGCAACACCGUUCUGGAGCUCUGUGUUCCGCCCACUACCUUUUCGAGGGGGUGCCCAAGCGGCGACGCGUCCGAUGAGUCAGCACUCACUUCGUAUGCGGCAGCACCUUCAUCCAUGACCACCAUCGACAUCGUUCCUGAGCUCACUGCAACUGGUGGCUGCUCCGAAGUGGCGCACACCACCUGUUCGACUACGGGUCUAGACCUCGACACCGGGCAUAUCCUGGUUGCUGAGGUGCCCUUGCUCAUGGUGGACCAGUUCCUGGCGGCCAUUGAUGUCUUAUGUGAGAUCGCGACCUCUGUGGGCAAGCUCACGGUCGAGCCUCCCAUGGCGCCGCCCACAACUGGCUCAGUUGCGUGUUCUGAAAGCGAUGAAGGCGUAUCGCCCCAUGUGCCGUCGAGAAACCAGUGCUCUCCAGCUCAGUGGAAACCACCUUGGCCAAUACCAUCUCAAGUGAGUACAUCUGGUUCCUAUGAUCACCAUUAUUUCCAUAUGGAGUUUGGGAGCUUCAGUUUGGAGUUAUUGUCUGUUGAUGAGUGCUGGAAGUAUUGGAAUUGUGAGCCUGGGAAUAGUUGUGCUUCGACGGAAGAAUCAGAUGCUGAAUUACUAGAAGGUUUGGUUUCUUCUGUUGUUCCUUAUGAGCAGCACCACUCCAUUAUAGCUUUUGAAAACCUACUAGGUGCUCCUUAUUGGGUGUCCGAUAUGCACUUGAGAGUAUCCUACAGUUUUUGGCCACAUAUGCAGCAAUUUAGUGACAAUGGAUGGCUCUCAUUUGAAGUGGAAUUAUCUGUGACUGACAUGGGAGACGCUCCAUCAUAUAAUUCUCAACUAUCACAGUGGAUUAUUGCUUGGUGGUUCUCCUCUGUAUCUGCAGUUCUGGAUGACACUUCUAUGGAUACAUCUUGUGCUUGUUCAGAUUUUGGAGAAGCAUUACAGAGAAGUAGAGAUGCUUUGAGACUUCAACUAGAUGGAAUGCCUUGUCACCACAUAUCAUCUACCAUACCACCUGACAAAAAUAGAGCUUGGAAUCAGUUGCAGUAUUCUGGUUCAUUGGGAGUAUCCCUUGGAUAUGAUCUGUGCAAUCCUAAUUUGAGUUGGUGCUUGGGUGAAAUGCUCUGGGGUGUUAAGCAAUGUGGGAGACGUGCUUUGUUAUCUGCAGCUAUUGUCCUUAACACAUCGCAGCAUUUCCCAUGGAUCAUUGCUUGGUUGCCAUGUUCUUCCUAUCCUUGUUCAAGCAUGGUUGAUGCUCAGUUUUGUAGUGUUCUGGUUGUGGCAGCGCUCAAACUUGGAAAAUUUGUUCAGUUGUUGUUCUGUUUUGUUGCUGCUAUAUGUAUUCCAGAGAACAUAGCUCUGAACUACAGUGUUGCAGAUGUUAAUGAUCAGGAAAAGGGAACCUGUUAUGUUGAAUGCAAGAGUACAUUGCCUAUUAUGAUAGCUACAGAUUUGAUACACUGGAAGAAUUGUUUGCUGCUCAUUAAUGUUCUAUCCUUGGUGGCUGGGAUACCUUUUGCACUAGAGUAUGGUGAAUUACAAUCAAUGUGUUCAUGCAUGUUCCUGCAACUGAUUGUGAUACUUUGUUCAGUUUCAAGGAGAAAAUGUAUCAGUGCAUUGUCCACAUGCUACAACUGCAAUGGGACCCAGGUGAUUGCUCUGUUUCAGUUUGGCGACAUGAAAAUCUUGCAGGCACAGAUGUUAUCUGCCCAGAGCUUGGUAUUGCUACACUUCGGUAACAUGGGAUCCGGGAGCGCUAUUCAACAUCGACUUGGGGGCAAGUCGAAUCUUAUGGAGGAGGGAUUGUUAGCGACCUGGGCCUCGCUGGGCUCUCAGGCCCUACCAGCCCAAGAAGGAUACACACUACAUAUACAGAUGGAGGCCUCGAUGAGCAGGUUGGCUUGGACCGGAAGGGCUUCGGCCUUGGCUUGGCGUGGCGUGCGUCGUUCUCUUGUAGUUCCAGUUCUUCCUCAUCUGCUCUCUGAUCCCUUCUUCUUCCUUGAGAUCCACUUGCACGGCGGCGCUCACAACGUCACCAUGGCUAUCUCGCCUUCGCCGCUGCUCCUGAUGGGCCGGCGUCGUCCGAGAGGGCAAUUUUCAAGUGCCUCCCAUAGAGGGAUUCGGUAUCGCUGGAUACGGCCGGUGGUGUUGCAGCUGCGAGGUGCAGCUCUGGGAGCUCUAGCGGUAGCAUGUCUGGUGCAUGAUGAGCAUGGCCGCGCCGGACCGCGCCUCUUCCCGCUGCUCCUCAACUACUCAGUAGUGUUGAGGUGGCGGUUCCCCUUGUGGUUUCUCGCGGACAUGUUUGCGGCUGGCGUGAUGCUGCUGCGUUGGUGUAGUGUGUGUGUGCGCGCGCGUGUGCUGGGACGGCAGAGCCGGUGCAACGUGCUCGCUCCAUGGUCACAGUUGGGUUCAACUGUGGUGGCCACGAGCCUACGACAAUGUCCUUAUGUUUCAUUUGUGACUCAACUCCCAUGCUUCAUGCCCUACUGUCGUAGCCCAGUCAAAGUAGCACAUACUACGCUAAUUGCAGAAAGAUCUACGUAUAACGCUAGCAUGGCUAAAACAGAGAACAGUAGGAGCGGGAUAAACGAGUUAUACCCUCCAGUAGGCCAUGCAGAGGCCGCGGCUUUGGUGGCAGCAGCGGCGUCCUCGGCGGCCUUCUUGUCAGCUUCAGCUUUCUCGGCGGCGGCACGUUCGGCGUCGGUGGACAUGGUGAUGAUGAAGGCGACGCGGACGUAG
rnacentral:rRNA from 1 species